rnacentral:rRNA from 1 species
ACGCACGCUGGCGGCGUGCUUCACACAUGCCAGUCGCACGGAAAGGCCCUGCUUUUGUGGGGUGCUCGAGUGGCGAACGGGUGAGUAACACGUGAGUAACCUGCCCUUGACUUUGGGAUAACUUCAGGAAACUGGGGCUAAUACCGGAUAGGAGCUCCUGCUGCAUGGUGGGGGUUGGAAAGUUUCGGCGGUUGGGGAUGGACUCGCGGCUUAUCAGCUUGUUGGUGGGGUAGUGGCUUACCAAGGCUUUGACGGGUAGCCGGCCUGAGAGGGUGACCGGCCACAUUGGGACUGAGAUACGGCCCAGACUCCUACGGGAGGCAGCAGUGGGGAAUAUUGCACAAUGGGCGGAAGCCUGAUGCAGCAACGCCGCGUGCGGGAUGACGGCCUUCGGGUUGUAAACCGCUUUCGCCUGUGACGAAGCGUGAGUGACGGUAAUGGGUAAAGAAGCACCGGCUAACUACGU